GAUGAACGCUAGCUACAGGCUUAACACAUGCAAGUCGAGGGGCAGCGGGAUUGAAGCUUGCUUCAAUUGCCGGCGACCGGCGCACGGGUGAGUAACGCGUAUCCAACCUUCCGUACACUCAGGGAUAGCCUUUCGAAAGAAAGAUUAAUACCUGAUGGUAUCUUAAGCACACAUGUAAUUAAGAUUAAAGAUUUAUCGGUGUACGAUGGGGAUGCGUUCCAUUAGGUAGUAGGCGGGGUAACGGCCCACCUAGCCAACGAUGGAUAGGGGUUCUGAGAGGAAGGUCCCCCACAUUGGAACUGAGACACGGUCCAAACUCCUACGGGAGGCAGCAGUGAGGAAUAUUGGUCAAUGGACGAGAGUCUGAACCAGCCAAGUAGCGUGCAGGAUGACGGCCCUAUGGGUUGUAAACUGCUUUUAUAAGGGAAUAAAGUGGGAGUCGUGACUCUUUUUGCAUGUACCUUAUGAAUAAGGACCGGCUAAUUCCGUG
rnacentral:rRNA from 1 species